rnacentral:misc_RNA from 1 species
CAAAUUUCAUGUGUUGUGUCGUGUGCAGGCGGCCGCAAGGCUUUCUGCUCACACGAACACACCAAUUUACGCUUGUUGUGUUUGACAGAGUUAUAUGUGACUUAAAAAUAGA